CAUCAACAUUAACAUUGAAUACGAUUACAUUUCGUUACUCAAUUAUAGGUGGCAACUAUAUAAGCAUGAGAAAGGAAUGAGAAAUCAUUCAGUCGCAUUUGGGACUUCAAUAAUUCAAGAUGAGAGCAGCCGUUCUGAUUUUCCUCAUCCUGGGAGCAGUCCUCAUGGCGGAAGCCUUCGACAGCAGACGGUUGCAACCUCAACGAAGACCCUCGGGGAAUUUUCCAACAUUUCCGGGACAGGGUCCUUUCAAUCCCCGACCCAAAUGGCCCGAAGCUUACAACCACCGGUUCAGACGAUCCCCGGAUUACGCCGUCGAAGAUGUUCCGGCAGAAGGAUAUUUUCAACCGGAAGCUCUAUUAGAAGCUGAGGACCCCAUAUGGGCAGCGGAAUAAAAGUUUCUCCAUAAAUAAAUUAUUAUUUGUCUUGGUUUCUUCAAUUAUUAAAAAUCGAAUAUUGUAAUGAAUGUAUUCGGCCGACUGUAUGAACGAUUUUACAAUUGAUGUACAGACAUAUCAAUGUAAUAUUAUCAACAUUAUUUAUAUUAUGUAUACAAUGCUAAAUAGCGAGAAAUAAAAAUUUAUAU
rnacentral:misc_RNA from 1 species